rnacentral:rRNA from 1 species
CGUAACAAGGUUUCUGUAGGUGAACUGCGGAAGGAUCAUUACCGAGUGAGGGCCCUCUGGGUCCAACCUCCCACCCAUGUUUAUUGUACCUUGUUGCUUCGGCGGGCCCGCCUCACGGCCGCCGGGGGGCUUCUGCCCUCUGGCCCGCGCCCGCCGAAGACACCAUUGAACACUGUCUGAAGAUUGCAGUCUGAGCAAUUAGCUAAAUAAGUUAAAACUUUCAACAACGGAUCUCUUGGUUCCGGCAUCGAUGAAGAACGCAGCGAAAUGCGAUACGUAAUGUGAAUUGCAGAAUUCAGUGAAUCAUCGAGUCUUUGAACGCACAUUGCGCCCCUUGGUAUUCCGGGGGGCAUGCCUGUCCGAGCGUCAUUGCUGCCCUCAAGCACGGGCUUGUGUGUUGGGCCCCGUCCUCCUUCCCGGGGGACGGGCCCGAAAGGCAGCGGCGGCACCGCGUCCGGUCCUCGAGCGUAUGGGGCUUUGUCACCCGCUCUUGUAGGCCCGGCCGGCGCUUGCCGACAACCAUCAAUCUUUUUUCAGGUGGACCUCGGAUCAGGUAGGGAUACCCGCUGAACUUAAG